UGUGUUGACCAUACUACGUAGACAGCACCGGUUCUCAUCAGCACACCGAUUUUAAACUGCAUUUGACCCGGUAAGUGAUUGCAUGGGUGACCGGCUGGGAAUACCGGGUGUUGCUGAUA
rnacentral:rRNA from 1 species